rnacentral:rRNA from 1 species
UUUGAUCCUGGCUCAGGAUGAACGCUAGCUACAGGCUUAACACAUGCAAGUCGAGGGGAAACGACAUCGAAAGCUUGCUUUUGAUGGGCGUCGACCGGCGCACGGGUGAGUAACGCGUAUCCAACCUGCCCACCACUUGGGGAUAACCUUGCGAAAGUAAGACUAAUACCCAAUGAUAUCUCUAGAAGACAUCUGAAAGAGAUUAAAGAUUUAUCGGUGAUGGAUGGGGAUGCGUCUGAUUAGCUUGUUGGCGGGGUAACGGCCCACCAAGGCGACGAUCAGUAGGGGUUCUGAGAGGAAGGUCCCCCACAUUGGAACUGAGACACGGUCCAAACUCCUACGGGAGGCAGCAGUGAGGAAUAUUGGUCAAUGGGCGAGAGCCUGAACCAGCCAAGUAGCGUGCAGGAUGACGGCCCUAUGGGUUGUAAACUGCUUUUAUAAGGGAAUAAAGUGAGUCUCGUGAGACUUUUUGCAUGUACCUUAUGAAUAAGGACCGGCUAAUUCCGUGCCAGCAGCCGCGGUAAUACGGAAGGUCCGGGCGUUAUCCGGAUUUAUUGGGUUUAAAGGGAGCGUAGGCCGGAGAUUAAGCGUGUUGUGAAAUGUAGAUGCUCAACAUCUGAACUGCAGCGCGAACUGGUUUCCUUGAGUACGCACAAAGUGGGCGGAAUUCGUGGUGUAGCGGUGAAAUGCUUAGAUAUCACGAAGAACUCCGAUUGCGAAGGCAGCUCACUGGAGCGCAACUGACGCUGAAGCUCGAAAGUGCGGGUAUCGAACAGGAUUAGAUACCCUGGUAGUCCGCACGGUAAACGAUGGAUGCCCGCUGUUGGUCUGAAUAGGUCAGCGGCC